rnacentral:rRNA from 1 species
GGGUUGUGAGGUUAAGCGACUAAGCGUACACGGUGGAUGCCCUGGCAGUCAGAGGCGAUGAAGGACGUGCUAAUCUGCGAUAAGCGCCGGUAAGGUGAUAUGAACCGUUAUAACCGGCGAUUUCCGAAUGGGGAAACCCAGUGUGACUCGUCACACUAUCAUUAACUGAAUCCAUAGGUUAAUGAGGCGAACCGGGGGAACUGAAACAUCUAAGUACCCCGAGGAAAAGAAAUCAACCGAGAUUCCCCCAGUAGCGGCGAGCGAACGGGGAGGAGCCCAGAGCCUGAAUCAGCAUGUGUGUUAGUGGAAGCGUCUGGAAAGGCGCGCGAUACAGGGUGACAGCCCCGUACACAAAAGCGCAUGUGUUGUGAGCUCGAUGAGUAGGGCG